CGCUGGAGUUUCUCCACCAGCAACAUGGCCGCUGCCUAAGAGAAGAGCAGGGCCGCCGCCGCCUCUGCAGCCCGCGGGUACCUGGGCCGUUGCCGCCGCCCGCGCGCGGCCCCCGCGGAGAGGUUGAGUCUGAGGAUCGUGCGGCUGGCCCCCCCCCUAGUAUGGCCAAUGAAGAGGAUGACCCAGUCGUACAGGAGAUCGAUGUGUACUUGGCCAAAAGUCUGGCGGAGAAGCUCUAUCUGUUUCAGUACCCUGUGCGUCCAGCCUCGAUGACCUAUGAUGACAUUCCACACCUCUCGGCCAAGAUCAAGCCCAAGCAGCAAAAGGUAGAGCUUGAGAUGGCCAUCGACACCCUGAACCCCAACUAUUGCCGCAGCAAAGGGGAGCAGAUCGCACUCAACGUGGAUGGCGCCUGUGCAGACGAGAGCAGCACAUACUCCUCGAAGCUGAUGGACAAGCAGACGUUCUGCUCCUCCCAGAGUACCAGUAACACGGCCCGUUACGCCGCUGCACUCUACAGGCAAGGUGAGCUUCACCUGACUCCUUUACACGGCAUCCUGCAGCUGCGGCCCAGCUUCUCCUACCUGGAUAAGGCAGAUGCCAAGCACCGAGAGAGGGAGGCGGCCAAUGAGGCAGGAGACUCCUCGCAGGACGAGGCAGAAGAAGAUGUGAAGCAGAUCACGGUGCGGUUCUCCCGUCCUGAGUCAGAGCAGGCCCGCCAGCGCCGUGUGCAGUCGUACGAGUUCCUGCAGAAGAAGCACGCCGAGGAGCCCUGGGUCCACCUGCACUACUACGGCCUGAGGGACAGCCGCUCUGAGCACGAGCGCCAGUACCUCCUGUGCCAGGGUUCCAGCGGGGUUGAGAACACAGAGCUUGUCAAGUCACCCAGUGAGUACCUCAUGAUGCUGAUGCCACCCAGCCCAGAGGAGGAGAAAGAUAAACCUGUGGCCCCCAGCAACGUCCUGUCCAUGGCCCAGCUGCGUACCCUGCCCCUGGCCGAUCAGAUCAAGAUCCUGAUGAAGAAUGUGAAGGUCAUGCCUUUUGCCAACUUGAUGAGCCUCCUGGGCCCCUCCAUCGACUCUGUGGCUGUUCUGCGUGGCAUCCAGAAGGUGGCGAUGUUAGUCCAAGGAAACUGGGUGGUGAAGAGCGACAUCCUGUACCCCAAGGACUCCUCCAGCCCUCACAGCGGUGUGCCUGCCGAGGUGCUCUGCAGGGGCCGAGACUUUGUCAUGUGGAAGUUCACACAGAGCCGGUGGGUGGUACGGAAAGAGGUGGCAGCAGUGACUAAACUCUGCACGGAGGAUGUGAAGGACUUUCUGGAGCACAUGGCCGUAGUGAGGAUCAACAAAGGCUGGGAGUUCAUACUGCCUUACGACGGAGAGUUCAUCAAGAAACAUCCAGAUGUGGUCCAGCGGCAGCACAUGCUGUGGUCGGGUAUCCAGGCCAAAUUAGAAAAAGUCUAUAAUCUCGUGAAGGAAACCUUGCCAAAGAAGCCAGAUGGACAAUCAGGGCCUGCCGGGCUGGUCUCCGGGGACCAGCGAGUCCAGGUGGCCAGAAGCAAGGCCCAGCAGAACCACGCGCUGCUGGAACGGGAGCUGCAGCGGAGGAAGGAGCAGGUGCGGGCGUCCACGGUCCUGCCCGGCGUGCGGAUCAAGGAGGAGCCUGUGAGUGAGGAGGGAGAGGAGGAGGAAGAGCAGGAAGCAGAAGAUGAGGAGCCCAUGGACACCUCUCUCGGUGGCGGCCUCCACAGUAGGCUGGCCAACGGGCUGCCUGGCGGGCGGGCGGUGGGCGGGGACAGCUUCAACGGGCACCCGCCCCCGGGCUGUGCCGGCACCCCUGUGGCCCGGGAACUGAGGGCCUUCGUGGAGGCCACCUUUCAGAGACAGUUUGUGCUCACGCUGAGUGAACUCAAGCGCCUCUUCAACCUGCACUUGGCCAGCCUGCCACCUGGUCACACGCUGUUCAGCGGCAUCUCGGACCGCAUGCUGCAGGACACGGUGCUGGCCGCCGGUUGCAAGCAAAUACUGGUGCCUGGACCGUAUAUCAUAGUCUCCUCUGAGGAGGAAAAGACCUCAGAUGUGUACACAAGGAUGCUCAGGUCCAGGGAGCAGGAGGAGACUCGACUCACAGGCUUGAGUUUAAUCCUGUUUCUACUAUUAGACGUCCGACUGUGGACAGGUAGGAGGACACUGGGUGUCGGAGCAGAGCGGGGAGCUAAUGCCAGGCUAACGGGACACACAGCAGAACUCCCUUCCCCACCUUGUCAACUGCAUCCGGCGACUUGAGGCUGGGCCUGUCCCGCUCCCUCCCACUGACGCCCUAGUGAGUGGCAGGAGCUGGAACUGGAACCCACAGUCUCACAAGGGCGGCUCCGUCCCUGAAUGGGGCUUGUGCGGGCUGGGAGGGGUGAGGGGCGGGUGGAUCCACGUGGCAAAGACAAACUACUAAUGCCUAGGCCUUGGUUAGUUUCCCCCACAGACCGCUGCAUCCCCAGAUGAGCAGAAGGUGUUCGCCCUCUGGGAGUCUGGAGACAUGAGCGAUCAGGUGAGGUGACCUCUGCUACCGUCUCCCCAAGAGCAGGGAGGGGGUGUGAGGCCUUCGGGGAGACCCAGACUGCGGUAACACACGCUCGUUUUCCAGCCGCUUUCAAGUUUAAAUAUUCUGGCUCCGUGUCCCCGUGUAGUGUUAGGCCGGACGUGCCAGUCAUUUGACCGGAACCCUUGGUCCCCUACUGCCUUCUGGACUGGCUGCAUCCAAGUCCUCUUCUAAAAAAUCUCUAUAAGCUCCUAGGACCAACCCCCGAGACUUCGUUCAGUUCCAGAGGAACGGGGAGGGGUCCUAGGUAUCUAAACUUCUACAAAGCUUUCCAGAGGAUUCUGCCACCCAGCCUGUCUGGUGAACCAGUGACAGUCCACGUUUCUCAGGUGCUGGAUUUCUAAGUUAGAGAAACUGGUCCAUUUUGCCUCCUGUCACACCCUGGCAGGAAGGGUCAUCAGUGUCUAGUGAACAAAAUAGGAGUUAAAACAGCAGCAGUGGCUGCAUGGACCCUGACGUCCAGAAAUUUUCCUUCAGUCAUGAACUCGCUUGAACUUUAAGGAUUUCGGAAUAAACUGCUAAAACACUAGUUGGCCCUAUUCCUAAGGUGUGGGGAGGAAGGGAGAUCCCUCUUCUGCCUCAGAGGGGCUGACAGACAGGUGGGCCUCUGUGCCCCAGGGCUGUGACGGGGCCCCGGAGCAAGAGCAUCUGCAGGGGCUCUUCCUGAGCCAGCCUGUGUGCUCUUGGCCAGAAUAGGUGGCAUCUGAAGUUUCUAGUCCUGAAGGGGCAGGAAAUGAAAACAAUUUCACAAUUAAUUUCAAUCUGAUGAGAAGAUAAGUGCAUUGAGACAAAGCUCUAUGGGCAACAGUCUCCAGCCCCGUCUUCAUGUAGCUUAGAUGGUGACUUUCCCUGCAUCCUAAAUCCAUUUUCACUUCUGUUUUGUGUCACGAAACACCUCGUCUAUACUGCCGGUCCUCUGCUGGCGCUUGCCUGGUCCUUUCUUCUUCUUGGGGUCUCGGGACGACGGAUUGGUCGGGUGUAUUCCUGUCUAGAGAAGUCCUGGCGCACACAGACUGCAGCAUGGAGUUCAGUCCCACGGCUCUGGAUCUCUUGUUCAGGGAGGUUUCUCUUUUAGGUGACUGUUUCCCACAAUAACAUAUUUUUGCUACUAAAGCACCGACAGGUUUUGCUUGAAAUCUUUUCCAAAAAUUACCGGGUCCGCCGGAACAUGAUCCAGUCGCGGCUGACUCAAGAGUGCGGAGAGGAUCUGAGUAAACAGGAGGUGGACAAAGUGCUAAAGGACUGCUGUGUGAGCUACGGUGG